UACGUAGGCAGCAAGCGUUGUUCGGAAUUACUGGGCGUAAAGAGUACGUAGGCGGCUUGCCAAGUCCGAUGUGAAAUCUCCUGGCUUAACUGGGAGGGUGCGUUAGAUACUGGCAGGCUUGAGUGUGGGAGAGGAGAGCGGAAUUCCUGGUGUAGCGGUGAAAUGCGUAGAUAUCAGGAGGAACGCCUGUGGUGUAGACGGCUCUCUGGACCAUUACUGACACUGAGGUACGAAAGCGUGGGUAGCAAACAGG
rnacentral:rRNA from 1 species